UAAUUUACUGUAUUGGUUGUCAACAGUGUGAUGCCAAAUACGUUGGCAUGACAACCAAUAAGUUACAAACACGUAUAUACGGACAUAAAUCUGAUGUCAAUCUCCUGGACAAAAUCACACAAAUAGAAAACACUUCAGACAAAUUACAUAAACUGAGCAAUCUGAGGGAAAGAACAGCAAUGAUGAACCACUGUGUUGGCACAGGCCACAGAUUUGAUCUGCAAAACGCCAAUGUAUUAGAUUGUAGCUUAAAAACAAAUAGACUACCAAUAUUAGAGAUAUGCCAUAUAAUGACAACAGAAAACAUAAACAAACGGACAGAUGUAGACGGGUUACACACAUGUUAUACAGGUAUCAUGCACACACUGAAAAGAUUAUCACACAGAAACAGACAUAGUAGGAACGAUCUUGACACCAAUACAACAGAAAUAGAUGAAGCACAAAUGAAUCAAAAUGACGAAUAACGUAGGCAGUAAAGACGAUUGAAGUUGAACAGCUUGACAGUGAGUAAAGUGUUAUAUAGAAUUGUGGGCGAAAAAACACAGUGGAGGCGUAUAAAUGGUAGUACUAGAUCACCAAACCGACCAUGCAACAACGAAACAUAGACAACACUACAGGCUGAAUGUUUUUGGACAGCUACGAAUAAUUCUUUAUCCCUGAGGAAGAUCCAAAUCGGGAUCGAAACGUUGGAGCCAAGAUAAUAAAUUCGUAGGCCAACUUAUUAAGACUGCAAGCCAGACCAAAGUAAAUCCAAAGUACUCAUAUCAGUCGAAAUCGCUAG